rnacentral:rRNA from 1 species
AAUACGUUCCCGGGCCUUGUACACACCGCCCGUCACGUCACGAAAGUCGGUAACACCCGAAGCCGGUGGCCUAACCCGUAAGGGGAGGAGCCGUCGAAGGUGGGACCAGCGAUUGGGACG